rnacentral:rRNA from 1 species
CGGACGGGUGUGUAACGCGUGGAAAACCUGCCGUAUACUGGGGGAUAACGCUUAGAAAUAGGUGCUAAUACCGCAUAAGCGCACAGCUUCGCAUGAAGCGGUGUGAAAAACUCUGGUGGUAUACGAUGGUUCCGCGUCUGAUUAGCUAGUUGGUGGGGUAAUGGCCUACCAAGGCAACGAUCAGUAGCCGGCCUGAGAGGGUGAACGGCCACAUUGGGACUGAGACACGGCCCAAACUCCUACGGGAGGCAGCAG